CGCUGUGAAGAUGCAGUGUACCCGCGGCAAGACGGAAAGACCCCGUGAACCUUUACUAUAGCUUGACACUGAACAUUGAGCCUUGAUGUGUAGGAUAGGUGGGAGGCUUUGAAGUGUGGACGCCAGUCUGCAUGGAGCCGACCUUGAAAUACCACCCUUUAAUGUUUGAUGUUCUAACGUUGACCCGUAAUCCGGGUUGCGGACAGUGUCUGGUGGGUAGUUUGACUGGGGCGGUCUCCUCCUAAAGAGUAACGGAGGAGCACGAAGGUUGGCUAAUCCUGGUCGGACAUCAGGAGGUUAGUGCAAUGGCAUAAGCCAGCUUGACUGCGAGCGUGACGGCGCGAGCAGGUGCGAAAGCAGGUCAUAGUGAUCCGGUGGUUCUGAAUGGAAGGGCCAUCGCUCAACGGAUAAAAGGUACUCCGGGGAUAACAGGCUGAUACCGCCCAAGAGUUCAUAUCGACGGCGGUGUUUGGCACCUCGAUGUCGGCUCAUCACAUCCUGGGGCUGAAGUAGGUCCCAAGGGUAUGGCUGUUCGCCAUUUAAAGUGGUACGCGAGCUGGGUUUAGAACGUCGUGAGACAGUUCGGUCCCUAUCUGCCGUGGGCGCUGGAGAACUGAGGGGGGCUGCUCCUAGUACGAGAGGACCGGAGUGGACGCAUCACUGGUGUUCGGGUUGUCAUGCCAAUGGCACUGCCCGGUAGCUAAAUGCGGAAGAGAUAAGUGCUGAAAGCAUCUAAGCACGAAACUUGCCCCGAGAUGAGUUCUCCCUGACUCCUUGAGAGUCCUGAAGGAACGUUGAAG
rnacentral:rRNA from 1 species